CGGGACUGCUGCAGAACCACGUGGGUCUGUUUGCAAUUUACAAACGUCGCGACUCGCCCGCCUGCAGCGGACAAAAAGGGCACCUUCUGAGUGGGCACCAUGAAAUACUCCAUAGCGAUCGGCGCCCCUCCUCUGCACGAGCCGGGUCCCGCGGUCCGCCGGAGAAUGCAAGAUGGAAAUCCGAAUCAAAGGGCAGCGCCGGACGGAGAACCGACUUGAUGGAGCCUGGUUCCCCCUGACCACCAUUUCUUGGCUGGUGACCUCACUCCAGCGGCUCACUCCAACCUCUGCUUCUAUUACCAUAUCUCCUUCUUCUCCUAUCCCAACCCUUCGACUCUGCCUCUUUUAUGAUGAUCUUGGGCCCACCCAGAUAAUACAGAAUAAUUUCCCAUCUCAAGAUCCUUGCCUUAGCUGUAUCUUCAAAGCCCCUUUUGCCACAUAAGGCAAUUUAGUGACAGGUUCCACAGAUUAGGAGGUGAACAUUUUAGGGACUGUACCAUUCUUCGUUCAGGGGCCAUACAAAACCUGGCAGAGGUUGUACUCUGCCCCAGCAGUUCCACUCCUAGGUAGAACCCAAAAGAAUGAAAACAAGGACUCAAAACAGGUCGUUAUAUGCCAGUGUUCAAAGCAGCGUUAAUCACAGUUGCCAAGGGACACCUGGGUGGCUCAGCAGUUGAGCAUCUGCCUUCAGCCCAGGGCGUGAUCCUAGAGUCCUGGGAUCGAGUCCCACAUUGGGCUCCCUGCAUGGAGCCUGCUUCUCCCUCUGCCUGUGUCUCUGCCUCUCUCUGUGUGUCUCUCAUGAAUAAAUAA